AAAGUCAAUAAACCAGAGCAUGUUUUUGUCCCCUCCCGGAAUGCUGGGUGGACUAGCCACCAUCCUCUGCAGCGCUGUGGAGGAAAGUCUGGCAACGCGAGACAACAUGGCCAUUAAUAAGCACUGACACU